rnacentral:rRNA from 1 species
CCUACGGGAGGCAGCAGUGAGGAAUAUUGGACAAUGGAUGGAAAUCUGAUCCAGCCAUGCCGCGUGCAGGAAGACUGCCCUAUGGGUUGUAAACUGCUUUUGUAUGGGAGCAAUAAGCCCUUCGUGAAGGGUGAUGAGAGUACCAUACGAAUAAGCAUCGGCUAACUCCGUGCCAGCAGCCGCGGUAAUACGGAGGAUGCAAGCGUUAUCCGGAUUUAUUGGGUUUAAAGGGUGCGUAGGCGGUUGGAUAAGUCAGCGGUGAAAGUUUUCUGCUUAACAGGAAAAAUGCCGUUGAUACUGUCUGGCUAGAAUAUGGUUGCUGUGAGUGGAAUGUGUGGUGUAGCGGUGAAAUGCUUAGAUAUCACACAGAAUAUCGAUUGCGAAGGCAGCUCACAAAGCCAUUAUUGACGCUGAGGCACGAAAGUGUGGGGAUCAAACAGGAUUAGAUACCCUGGUAGUCCACACUGUAAACGAUGAUAACUCGCUGUCGGCGAUACACAGUCGGUGGCCAAGCGAAAGCGAUAAGUUAUCCACCUGGGGAGUACGACCGCAAGGUUGAAACUCAAAGGAAUUGACGG